CGCACAGUGGCUUAGUGGUUAGCGCGUUCGCCUCACACCUCCAGGGUCCGGGUUCGAUUCCCGCCGGGGUGG